GACGAACGCUGGCGGCGUGCUUAACACAUGCAAGUCGAACGGCAAGGCCCUGCUUUUGUGGGGUGCUCGAGUGGCGAACGGGUGCGUAACACGUGAGUAACCUGCCCUUGACUUUGGGAUAACUUCAGGAAACUGGGGCUACUCCCGUAUCGGAGCUCCUGCUGCAUGGUGGGGGUGGGAAAUUUUCGGCGGGUGGGGAUGGACUGGCGGCUUAUCAGCUUGGUGGUGGGGUAGUGGCUUACCAAGGCUUUGACGGGUAGCCGGCCUGAGAGGGUGACCGGCCACAUUGGGACUGAGAUACGGCCCAGACUCCUACGGGGGGCAGCAGGGGGGAAUAUUGCACAAUGGGCGGAAGCCUGAUGCAGCAACGCCGCGUGCGGGAUGACGGCCUGCGGGUUGUAAACCGCUUUCGCCUGUGACGAAGCGUGAGUGACGGUAAUGGGUAAAGAAGCACCGGCUAACUACGUG
rnacentral:rRNA from 1 species